AAAAAUAGGAGGUAAAAGUUAUCUACUUUGCUUUUGUUUGGAUAGGAUGGAAAAUGGAAAGAAUGAAAGUGCUGUAAAAAUAUCAGGAUAAAUUACAAAUUUUUUUCUCUCUAUUAUUAAAGAUAUUACUAUUGUUAUAGGGUUACAAUUGUAUUUUUCAUUUUUUUGAGUAUGAUAGAGAAUCAUCACGUGGUGAGGAUUUUGCUUCAUUUUUCUUGAAAAGUUUCCUUAUAAAAUUUUUGCAACAUUUACCAUUUCCCCACUUUCCUCCCUCUCCCAAACAAUAGAAAAAUAGAUUUUUCCCCAUAAGUAUUCCCUCUCCUUUUCUUUCCCACCAUUUUCCAUAAAUAUGUUGUUAUAAUUUUGAAACUCAGGAAGUGAAAUU
rnacentral:misc_RNA from 1 species